rnacentral:tRNA from 1 species
UCCCUUGUAGCUCAGAUGGUAAAGAACCUGCCUGCAAUGCAGGAGACCUGGGUUCGAUUCCUGGGUCAGGAA